CCUCUUUCAUUUAGUCACCCACGUUCAUGUUUAUUUUCAUGCCACAGUCACAGACCCUCCCCUGUGACCCUCUUCUUAACCAGUGGUUUCUCCCCCAUCAGGCAAUGUUUACAAGUUCCAGACUGGCUCUCGGUUCCAUGCAAUCCUGUGGCACAAGCAUUUGGAUGAUGCAUGUAAAAGCAACAGGCCUCAGGUACCUGCAAACCUUAUGUCAUUUGAAUAAGUCUCUGCGGGACGUGGCGUGACUUCAGAGGCUUCUGGGAGCCCGGCCUGGGACUGGUGGUGAUGCGCAGGUGCUGGGCACAGGCCGCUGGCCAGGGUGCUGGGAGACUCACAGCCAGACCCAAGGGGACAUGGCCUGUGGCCUCGCAGUCCAGAGGGCCCCGCCGGCGGGGGCGGGCCGCACCACCACUCCCCAGGGACUGUCAUGACUCAUUCUGCAGCUACGCCCGCCCGCCUGCCCUCUCUGGGACCUCGUGCGUCCACCAGCUGCUGCUGCGACUAGAGAGCAUUCGGCCCAUGUCGGGUCCCCAGUGCUCACUCCUGCACAAGAGUGGACAGUGUUAACCUGCGUGAGGGGCCAGAGAGAAGGCACAGGCUGUGAACUGGCUUUUUACACCCCAAGUGCAUGGGGUUGCCCGCCCACAGGGCGGCCUCAGAUUUUGUACAACCCCCGAAGCGUCCUCUGCGUGUGCGUGCCGUAUACGUGUGCUUGCGAGCGAGUGUGAACUCUUCGAGAAGCAUGCAUUUUGGCACAAGACUUGUGACAUCACAUAUUUCAUUGGCUUUGAGGCCCUGCUUUCACCUUAAGUGACAGCCUUGUCCACCAAGGAAGGUCAGAGAGCCCAGAUCCCUCCUGUGUUAAGGGUCCCUCGCAUUCUUUUACUGUAAACAAACAAUGCCUUAAAUUGUGUCUUGUUUUCUGUUCCUAUGGGUGCUAUUCAUCUGGAAGGCUGCUCCCCGGGCCCACGUCCCUUCCAGGCCUUGUCGCUGUCGGCUCUCCUGAGACAGGCUUCAGGGCUGUGGGCCGGGCCCCUGGCCUGCCAGCUUCCUCCCAGCCCUGCUCACGAGGAGCCCGAGGCUCUUCUCUUCUCACCCCUCCCACCAGGCCAGGACGGGACGGCGUGACACUCCCCCCAGCUUCUCAGAAGCAGCUCGGAGGCCGCCAUGCUCGUGGUGAAUGGCUGCGCCAGCCUCCCCGCAGGCCAGGCUUCUGCUCCCGUCAUCUCACCCCUCUGCCUCCACUGCCGGGCCAGGGCCCACUGGGCGUCCUGAUGACACUGGGGAGCUGAGCCACGCUGAGGCCUUAAGCUCCCCCAGUCUUGCCCCCAAACCCAGUCACCAGCAAGUUUUCCAUCAUCCAAAUCCAGGGGCACGAUUGUUGAUGACCAUGGUGACCCGAGAGCAAAGCCCGGGGGAGUGAACGGCCCACGCUCUGCAUUCAGUUAAGAGCUCUUCACAUGAACAACGUCCCUUAUCUGUCAUUGUCAUAUUUUAAGUGACCUUUAUUUUGCACAAAUACAUUUUUAUUCAGAACAGUGGAUAAAAAUUCACUUUAUUUAUGGUAGCUUUAUCACCAUAGCUCCCCUCCCUGCCCCAUCUCUCUCUCAUCUGGGUGCCCUAAGUCUAAGAAGGAAACCCUAAAAUGAUUUUCUGAAAGAAGCUGAGUUUCUGGGUCCGUGUUGCUAUCAUGGUUUCAGGGCUCACACCGGUCAGACAUCAAACCACCCCCAACAGUUCCUGGGCAAGAUGUUUCAGAACAACAUCUUAACCAGUGAACCAUGACAGGUCAAUCAGAAAGCUACUGAAGGACCCACCACUGUAUGUUGAUCAAAUGGUGGCAACUGUCCUAAAAACUGGAAUGAAUGGGUGAGGAAAGGAGUUGUCAUCAGGAUCUUAUUUUGUGGUCAAGCCUGACUGUGCUCACUCAAUAACUGCCCCUGCUCUGGAGCAAGUUCUAGAAUGCUCUCGUGCCAGGAGACACUCCAGAUGGUAAAGUGGAUGCCCCCAAACACUGGCCAUUGGUGCUUUGCACGCCCACCUGCAGCCGGGGUCUGGAUGCCGGCAUCUGAUUCACACCAACGACUCUUCAGAGUAGCCUCUGGAGGCUGAAAACGCCACCCACUCGAGACACCUCUCACCACAGCUGUGCAGUGUGAACGUUUUGACCUACAUUCAACCGGAUUCUACCUGUUAGCUUUUAAGUCUUAAAUUUGGAUGAACGUGCAACACCGAAACAUCAGCUACUUGUUUUCCUUGUGCUUCUCCACUCUUCGACUGUCCUGGUUUUUCUCACAUGAAAUACUAUAGAUGUCAAUCCAAAAACCUCUGAAUUUCAGGCUGCACUAAAUCAGAUGAUGUUCUGCCCUCUACAAAAUGUUCGUCUCUCACAAAUGUUCUCUUCUGAGCCUAAUUUGAAAGAGCACAUUCGCAGUUCUUUUCAAAGUGUUUACUAGUUCACUAGUUCAAAGUCUUUUCACUAAUUGAGAAGGAUCCCACACCCCCUCCUAGAAACCUUCUUAGCUUGGACUCUUGAAGAAUCUGUUCAGACCUCAUUGGCAAAGUCCCCGUAGAACUGGUAAGAGCCUUGAAGGUACCAGAGGAGUCCUGCAGACAAGGGGCUUGGGGCCGAGCGUGUGAAUGAAGUUCACAUUGUCUUCUCAGAGUUGGUUUGUCCCUCAAGCUGCAAGGCGGGGAGGGGGGGGGCAGGCACAGACCCCAAAGGGGGAGAUCCAUGGGUGGAUUCUCACCCUGGAGGGAAGUGUUUCUGCUUUUUCCUCCUUGACUGUCCAUAGUGCACAAAUGUUUGUGAAACCAUUGAAGAUGAGAUGUCGUGCAUGCAUAUGCUGUACCUUUUGUUUUUAUUUUUAAGCAAAAAGAUCACGGCACCCCAAAAGGAAAGUUGUAGAAUGCUGUCUACAAACUGGAGUAGGUAGCUGGUACCCCAAGAAUAGCUCCCUCACGUCUUCCUGGGAGUAAUUUCCACCCCUUUGAGUUGCACGUAUUUUGUAAUUCAAGGCCAGCCGAUGUGCAUUCUGACAAAUGAAAUAUUUCCUGGAGGAUUGAUUGGAUGGAGAACAGUAGAAAUAUUGUUCUGAGUGUGCCCAGUGAGAGAGUGGCCUCCGUUCUCUUCCCCGAAGCAGGCCGUUCGUCACACGGUCCUACUGUGGAAUCUAAAGAGGAAGAUACUUGAAGGGAUUCUGUUUGGGAAAGAACCCGCUCUCUCUUGCCAACAGAAUUUAUAAAGCAUUUUUUUCUUGCCAAGAUGGCCAGUAUUUCUUUCAUCAUCUUCCUCCCAACACCUGUAUUUUUUAGGAUGCCAUUUUACAGGUGGAAAAUGGUCCGUGAAAAUGGGAAGCCAUUGGCAAGCAGGGUCUGCUUUCAUUCCACAAGUGGAGUUUAGAGCUCCCACCCAUGUUACUGAUGCUUCUAACCAGGAGAACGUUGCCAAAAACACAACCUAACUUAUUAGUGACUUCAUAAAUGACUUUAAUCAGUCCCACAUCAUACUGGCAUGUUGGGUAAUGUCAUGCUUAAAAAAGAAAGAAAAAAAUAUGAGUCCCUUUGAAAGAACAAACUCUCUGCGCAUAACCACCCAUUCAUUCAUCCGCAUCUCUAGUGAGUGCUUCCUGUGUGCUGGGCUCUAUCCCGGAUAUCAGUGGCUGAGAACAAAACACACCUCAUCCCUGCCCUGGAGGAGCUGACCACUCAAUAAAGAAAUAGUCCUGCAUUUCCUCUGGCAAGACCCUGCCUCUCUCCCAGCACCAUGUACAGGCCUUGUGCAGAUGCCUUCAGGAAGGUUUCGAAAGGCUCCGCAGAAGGAACAGCCUUUUGACCUGCAAGUUCAGCGGCAGUGAGGACGAGAUGGACUCGCUGUCCCAGAGGCUGGUUGGCCCAGAACCGGCAAGCGCAGACCUCUGCUUGGGCACACACAGGACUGGACUCCAAGGUGGAAAGAAAGCAGGGGCCGAGUGUUCGCAGUAUUUACUUCCAAGGCCUUUUGGGCUUAAUUUCAGUGUUAAAUGCAGCGUGAGUGACAGCUGCGUUUUCUUGGGUGUGGAGAACUUGGACCACCUCGCAGCCCUGCCCUGUGCCCACAAAUGUAUGCCAGGGCCAGUGCGUGAUCCCUGUUCGCAACAGCAACGCCAUAGGGCAUCUGUCCGUUCUAUAACCAUUAUCACUUUACCCAUUUCUGAACAACUGUGACCCUUCGGUAAUGAAACAAUAGUAAUUAAUUUAUUAGUAUGGUAUAACCUUUAAUAAAUUUCGUGCCAAAAUGCAUGGUUUUUCACUUAGCAUUCAAACUGUUGCGUAGAGAGUAGUUUUCAAUUUCUUAUGUAUUCUUCAAAGUAAAUUGAAAAUCAGUUUCUACAUUUUAAUUCCUUUCUUGUUAAAUAUGUUGCACUCUCCUGGGCUGUCUUUUCUUCCAGCAGACCCCCUGCAUGCAGUUGUGUAAGGACUUUCUCUAAUUCCUGUAAAGUGUCUCACCUGCAAUAACCACUGGACAUCAGCCCUCCGGGGAUUCUUUAGAUUUUUGGUGAAGUAUUUUGUUACCUCAGUCUUGUAUCAAGUUGCUGUAUUUUUCAGCUUGUUACACCAAUAAUAAUUGUUUCACUAAUUAAAUACUUUAAUGUACAAACACCUUUGUUUACUUUGAAAUUAAAUGUGUUUUCCAAUGA